GAUCCUGGCUCAGGAUGAACGCUGGCGGCGUGCUUAACACAUGCAAGUCGAGCGAAGCGCUUAAGUUUGAUUCUUCGGAUGAAGACUUUUGUGACUGAGCGGCGGACGGGUGAGUAACGCGUGGGUAACCUGCCUCAUACAGGGGGAGUAACAGUUAGAAAUGACUGCUAAUACCGCAUAAGACCACGGUACCGCAUGGUACAGUGGUAAAAACUCCGGUGGUAUGAGAUGGACCCGCGU
rnacentral:rRNA from 1 species